rnacentral:rRNA from 1 species
AUUGAACGCUGGCGGCAUGCUUUACACAUGCAAGUCGAACGAGUGGCGAACGGGUGAGUAAUAUAUCGGAACGUACCGAGUAAUGGGGGAUAACCAAUCGAAAGAUUGGCUAAUACCGCAUAUUCUUCGAGCGGCCGAUAACUGAUUAGCUAGUUGGGGGGGUAAAGGCCUACCAAGGCGACGAGCAGUAGCGGGUCUGAGAGGACGAUCCGCCACACUUGAACUGAGACACGGUCCAGAAUCCUACGGGAGGCAGCAGUGGGGAAUAUUGCACAAUGGGCGCAAUCCUGAUGCAGCCAGGCCGCGUGUAUGACGAAGGCCUUCGGGUUGUAAAGUACUUUCAGCGGGGAGGCGUUACCCGCAGAAGAAGCACCGGCUAACUCCGUGCCAGCAGGCGCGGUAAUUC